AUUGAACGCUGGCGGCAGGCCUAACACAUGCAAGUCGAGCGGCAGCGGGAAAGUAGCUUGCUACUUUUGCCGGCGAGCGGCGGACGGGUGAGUAAUGCCUGGGAAAUUGCCCAGUCGAGGGGGAUAACAGUUGGAAACGACUGCUAAUACCGCAUACGCCCUACGGGGGAAAGCAGGGGACCUUCGGGCCUUGCGCGAUUGGAUAUGCCCAGGUGGGAUUAGCUAGGUGGCGGGGUAACGGCACACCAAGGCGACGAUCCGUAGCUGGUCUGAGAGGACGAUCAGCCACACUGGGACUGAGACACGGCCCAGACUCCUACGGGAGGCAGCAGUGGGGAAUAUUGGACAAUGGGGGAAACCCUGAUCCAGCGACGCCGCGUGGGUGAAGAAGGCCUGCGGGUUGUAAAGCCCUUUCGGUAGGGACGAAAGCUCUCGACCUAACACGUCGGGAGGUUGACUUAACCUACAAAAGAAGCACCGGCUGACUCUGUGCCAGCCGCCGCAGUAAUAC
rnacentral:rRNA from 1 species